AACACAUGCAAGUCGAGGGGUAACGAGAGGGAAGCUUGCUUUCCUUGUCGACGACCGGCGCACGGGUGAGUAACGCGUAUCCAACCUGCCCACAACUAAGGAAUAACCUUGCGAAAGUAAGACUAAUACCUUAAUGAUUUCCUCUGAAGGCAUCGGACGAGGAAUAAAGAUUUAUCGGUUAUGGAUGGGGAUGCGUCUGAUUAGCUUGUUGGCGGGGUAACGGCCCACCAAGGCAACGAUCAGUAGGGGUUCUGAGAGGAAGGUCCCCCACAUUGGAACUGAGACACGGUCCAAACUCCUACGGGAGGCAGCAGUGAGGAAUAUUGGUCAAUGGGCGAGAGCCUGAACCAGCCAAGUAGCGUGCAGGAUGACGGCCCUAUGGGUUGUAAACUGCUUUUAUACAGGAAUAAAGUUAGCCACGUGUGGUUAUUUGUAGGUACUGUAUGAAUAAGGACCGGCUAAUUCCGUGCCAGCAGCCGCGGUAAUACGGAAGGUCCCAGGCGUUAUCCGGAUUUAUUGGGUUUAAAGGGAGCGUAGGCCGUCUGUUAAGCGUGUUGUGAAAUGUAGAUGCUCAACAUCUGAAUUGCAGCGCGAACUGGCAGACUUGAGUGUGCGCAACGUAGGCGGAAUUCGUGGUGUAGCGGUGAAAUGCUUAGAUAU
rnacentral:rRNA from 1 species